GACGCAUCACUCGGAAGAGCCGGAAGAAAGUGAUGGAGAUGCGUGCGUGCUCCUCCGUGUCCUUGCGGAUGGGGAGGGGUGGAGAAGGGUAGGUGGAGAGAAGACCCAGCAGAACUGAGAUCAGCACCUCUCAACGUGCAGCCCCUGCCGGUCCCCACCAGUACAGGACUUGGGUGUGCUCUCAGCUCCUUGGUUAUUGAAUUGAGCUUGAGAGAAGAUCCAUCCACAAUCUGAGCCAAUCUAGGAGCUAGCUAAGAAGAAGUCCUGCAGUGGAUUGGGAUGGGAGGGGGCUGCAUGUCCUGCCAAAAUAAAUCAAGAGAGACACAGAGGCACACCGGAAGGCCUGAGCCAGUUAGAGCGGGCAUGUACUGUAUUAGGAUAUCUGAGCCAUCAAAGAGUCACCACGAGUGUGACUAGUUCAAUACUGCAGAGAUGAGUUUCUGCUUAUUAUUUGCUAUUAUUUAGACAGUCUAAUUGAUGAUAAUGCAAUAGAAAAAAAUCAACCCAAUUUUCUUGGCUUGCGUUUUCAAAACCCAUUUGUAUGUUGUCCACUACUAUGGAAAAAACUCUUUAUAUUUAACUUGCCUGACCUUUGCCUGUAAGCAUUGUCCAGGUCUGUGAAUUAGGCGAGGGAUCACAUUGUCUGUGUGAUUGAUGCUGGGUUCUGAGACAGCUAUUUUAUUUUGGAAUAACAUUUUAGGAAUUUUCAGUGGAGGAAAUUAACUGUAGAAAGCCCAACUGAAUUUUGUUGUAAAUCCAGUAAUGCUGUCAAUUACUUGAAAAUGGAGAACACUGGGGUUCUGCAGCAGAUAUCCUGAGGACAUGUGUGGCUCUUCCACUGCCAAUCAGGACCUGCAUCCUGCUUAAUGGAAAACUCGCAGCAAAGCUCACAGACUUAUCACAGAUGCCCAAGGAAAUCAAGGAUUGGUGCAGGAUUCCACCACAAAGACACAACUGGCAAUCUGUGGACAUUCUUCAGAGGAAAAUAACUUUAAAAGUGCUGUUCACUCCCAAAUGUAUUAGUACAAAAACGAUCAGCACUGACAUUGGCAUUGACUUGGCAAGUCACAGCUUGGGCACUGCCCCGCAAUCAAUUACAAUGUAAGCGUUUCUUGUCUUCUAAAUAUUUUUAAGGUUGUGUACAGCACCUCACUACAGUAUGUCCAAUUCAUUCUCCAGUGCUCCAGCAGUAGAGAAUUUCUGCAUUAAGGUCUGUAAUGCAAGACAGUUCCAGUUUUCUGGCCGUGGUGAGUGACACCGCCAUCUGCUGACCGUCUGCACUUCAGAACCACCUGGAGGACUUGCUGAGCUGUCCAAGCUGUGACAAGUCCCUACUGAUCAGAAACACCACAGAACAUCCGUAGGCUUUUCCUGACAUUCUUCCUGGGAUUCUCAAUCCUCCCUGGCUGUUGCAUUUCCUAUGCUACCUGUGAAUGUGUGUUUUCUCCUUGAACUUUACAAAGAAAUGCCGAUGUCCUAAAUGAUUGCUUCUGCAUAAAUGCGGGUGAAUAUCUAAUCCCUUUCAACUCCAGGCUUAAUGAGAGCAUGACCAGUACAUCCCUGUAGUCCCUUCAACAAGAUGGAAAUUGACCAAGUAACUUGAAGAAUGUCCUACUGGCAGGAUGUCUACAGUCAACACAGUUGAGAGUAGAUACAACUGUGGCUCAAAUGCAAAGAAAUGCGAAGUUCAUUCUGGAGACACUUGCAAGACAACUGUAAACGACAGGCCCCCCCUCAAAAAGAAGGGUGUCAGGGAAAAAGAGGGGAAUGUCAGAAAAGGGCAAGAGAUCCAACAGGAAGAUAAGAACUGCAGGACAGUGCCCAAGGAACACUGGAAAUACUGCGUCUGUGCUGCUGCUGCUGCCUGAAGUCCUGGCACAGUGGAAAGAGACAACAUUGCAUCGGUUCAUCAAAGAGCUCUGUGCUACAUUUAUAGUCUCUAUUAUCGGAAGCGUUUAUAAAGCAGCUUUGGUUCACCGCUUUAGAGUAACACUGUGCAGCUCUCCUGUGGGGGUUGGGGAGGAAACAGUGCAACAGCGAUGAUAAGGAAUUCACCACAUCAGAGACCUCCAGAAACUGCACGGGCAGAGAGCAGGAGUCAGGAGACUUUAGACAUUUUACUGAAAAUGACAGUUGGACAAUAAAUUGGACUGUUGGGUGAUAAAAAGUAAAGAGCGCUUGUAAAAUCCUUGGGCCUUUCUUGGGUGACCAAGACAAUCGUACUUUGUUUUAUUAUGGUGCUUCUAGUGUGAAGGGUGUGUCAAGGGAGGGGAAGGUGGCGAGGAAGAGGGGCUCACUAAAAUAACUGCACUGGGGCCCACGAUAGUCACGUUCAUCCACUGCAACAGCAACACCUUGAUGGUCCAGGGUUCACCUGCUGAACCCAUCAAAUAUUCUCCCUGCUACAGACCUUGUCUUGAUACCAUCAUGUGUUGCAAAAGUGAGCCAAAUGUACGGCUAACACCUAGAAAGGAGGUGUGGCAUCUUCGAUUGUCAGUGUGGGUGGAGACAUUGUGAAGGUUAUCACAGGCUGCAGGGCGAAGAGGAGCGCUGUGUAGGUUUAGAGAGCUCAUUCUCCCAGUCCAGGAUAUCAGUUAGGUAAGAAAGACAAUGAGAACUCUACAACACUGCACACAGACAGACAGCAUGCUACACAAGACAAACUCUGCCUUCUUCACUUUAUAAGGUGAUAAAAUAAUGGACUUAUAUAUGGCUUGAUUCCAUUACUGUAAUCCAAAGGGUUACACAGUAUAGUCAGGGUGACACCUCUUUUGAUCAAAGAGCAUAGAUCUGGGGUUGCAAACUUGACCUCUCCACUAUUGUGUCUGCUGAAGUUGGGAAACAGACUGUAAAUCAAAUGAAAGAGAUCUAUUACACAAAACACAGACCCUUGUUAAUUUUGGGCUAACACUUGGAGAAUGAUAACAUUUUUGUGUGUCUUCUCGGGUUACUGGUAAGAGGAACUCAGUUGCAGACUGCCCAUUGCAAAUGGUAAAAGACUGUGCUAGUUUCUAAGCAUGCAAUGAUUAGUUCUCUUUUCCUUUGCAGUCUGUCACUGUGAGAAAGGCAGUCCAUUUACCAGUACUACAGUCUACAAUUUAAAACUGUCCUUCUCAUUCAAGUGGUCAAGAUAACAAGAACGAGUUCCCACUGUGUGAAGAUAAUCAACUAUAAUGAUCAUUCCAAGUAAGUUUACAGUAUUGUUACACCAGUCAUAGCUGGUGUACACUUUCUCUUUAGCUAGUGAUCUAUCUCGUAGUCACUGAAGAAGGCAGGUAACAAAAACGAGACGCUGGCUGCACAGAGCAGUCACACAGCAAGCCUCAUGCAACUGUGACAGA